AUGAUUGAGAGCAGCACACCGACCAUGUUGGAAAUAACUGAAACAUCGCGCUGCACCGUGUGCUGCUGUACUCUGGCCAAUAAGAUCCUCAUGGUGCUCUUCAUGGUACUCCUCAUCUUCGCCAUCCUAUUUGGGAACUUGGUGACGCUGGCUGUGGUGUUAGGAACUAAACACUUCCACACGCCACAGGGCUACCUGAAGGCAUCGCUCGCUGUGGCCGAUCUGGCUGUGGGCGUAUUUGUGGUGCCGCUGUCCAUCUAUGCUGAGGUCUACCUAAUGGUGACUGACUCCGCACCGGAGUGGACCUUGUACAACUCACAGUCUGUGAGCUUUCAUCCCUGCAGCAUCAUUGGACCAAUCUUUGCAGGAUGCACCUUGGUAUCCAUAACAACAAUUUUCCUGCUGACAAUUGAGAGGACCAUCGCCGUGUUGCGGCCACUCCACAAAGACUCACUGAUUACUCGCAGAAGGACAACGAUCCUCAUCGUCCUCUCCUGGGUGGGGAGUUUCUUCCUGGCCAUUCUUCCAAUGCUUUUCAGCAGCGAGAUCGCUUUGGAGUACAACUCCUGCAGUCGAAUGUGCAACUACGCUCUUGGAACCAUUGGCAAGUUCCCGAGCCAGGCUUGGAACAUCCUACUCCUGUUUCCAGCAUUUGACUUCACACUCCUCUGUGGCACUGUGGUGAUAAACAUCAUCUCUCUGUCCAGCAUCAGGCAGCAUUCCAAGCGCCGGAAACACCUGGCAGAAGCCGAGUGCCAGAGCACCUCCAAGCCUACCUUCUCUGACAUCAAGGCAGCUAAAACUAUUGGGACACUAACGGUGGCGUUCACCGUGUCCUUCACACCCAUUGCUGUGUUUGUGGUUGGAAACGUGCUGGGAAAUAAAUGGUGCAACUUCUCCUUUUUCGCCUUCUGGAUUUUGGCCGCUAACAGUUGCUGGAAUGUGAUUAUUUACAGCGUGAGGGACCAGAAGUUUAGGACUCACGCUCACCAGCUGCUCAUGCCCUUCCAGAGAAACACCACAGCCUGA
rnacentral:lncRNA from 1 species